GCGGAAGGGCAGGGAAAUGGAGAAACGUGGAGUCCACCUGAGGCUUGAAUGGCCUUUUUAGAGUUCCAGGCCCCUGGGAUUUGCAGACUUCUCUGCGGUAGACCGACUAUUGGUGAUGGACUUUGCAUUUUCCCGCAGGAGGGUGAAGCUGCCGGCCGACUUCCUCCAAUAUGCAUAUUUUACAUAUAUAAACACCUUUGCAGUUUUAUAGCCAUUUAAAUAAACCAUUCACAUAAACUCUUAACUCUUAAAACGAUCCGCACAAAAUAGCUUUUAUCUCAGAUCAUUUUCACUCUUCUUUUAAUUACUGGCUUUUGUAGCUUGGGUUUUACCUCCAGGCUGGUGGCCAAAGUGUUUUUACGUCCAACUAGGCCGUCUCUUCUACGGUACCUUAGUACCGCAGUAACUUUCCCUAUCAACAUGGACACAGACUAGAGUCAACCUUUAAUUUUCUCAGUUGGAUGGGUAAUCUAUUUUUGGGAGAAGCAAAUGUCCCCUUCGUUUGGUCCUUGUUGGUUCUUCGUUAGCGAGGGAGAAUGCCGGUGGGGCCUUCAGCAGCAGCAUCCUAACAGUGUUGCAGCGGUGACUAGUUUUUGGCUUUAAAAAAGACAGACCCGU
rnacentral:lncRNA from 10 species